rnacentral:tRNA from 1 species
ACUAAUUUGGCAGAUAAUUGCAUCAGAUUUAGAAUCUUAUUAUGUAUAAUAUUAUACAGUUAGUA